GUCCGGUAUGCUCUGGUUUGAGUAGCAUUGUAAAAACUGGCGAGAGCUUUCCGAGCUAAAGGUUAGCUGAUGACUGCUAGCAGUGGUUAGCUGACUACUAACUAGUAGCUAUUGAGCUGGCUAGCUUCUGAUGGGGGAUUGCGGAUUCGAGGUAAAUAUAAAUACUUUACAAAAACAGAUCCACACAACAUUGGGUGACGCGGGUUGCAGAAGAAUAUUUGAAGUUGAGGUUUAGAAAAAAAUAUUAAAAAGAUAUGUGAAGAAAAGGAUCUAUACAUGGGACACGACGAGAUGAAGUACAAAGACGUCUGACUGCUACGCCAUCUUGGAUUUUUCAAAUGCCAGGCAUUAGCAAGCUAUAAAGAUUAUUCUCUGACAGCCGUACACAGCAAUUAUUAUUUCGCUUCAAUCACUUGGUAACAAACGAGUUAUUCCGUUUGACAGUUCAUUUCAUUAAUAUAUUAGCAAGUUACGCUGGCAAUAGCCUAGCUAGCUCGACACUUGAGCACUGCAAAAGCUGGCGUUUGUGCCAAACUGGCUCUCUGAAAUUGGGUCAACCAGUAACGUUACCUAGCCUCCCAAGGGACUCCACUAAUUUCUUUGAGAAAAGCCUUCACAUCUCGAUAAAUUAAUGUGCAGUUUGACAGAACAUAGCGGUCAGAGGCUGAGAAAGAGUUAGGAACUCUUGCUGGGCGAAAGCCGGGGUUUUGCCUCCCUGUCCGGCCGCCUUUGAACUCGCCAAGCCGUGCUGAUGUUUUAACAUUCGCCGGUGACAUGUGCUCGGGACAAGCCCCGGUGAGGGGUUCCUCAAGUUUUUGCCAGCCAUUACCAUGACUCUGCAAGUGGAGGACAUUUCUAAGAGACCCCAAACUUUUGAACGUUUCCUUUGUGUAUCAAGAAUGGUCCACCACUCAAAGAACAUCCAGCCAACUUGACACAACUGUGGAAAGCAUUGGAGUCAACAUGAGCCAGCAUCCCUGUGGAACGCUUUCGACACCUUGAAGAGUCCAUGCCCCGACGAAUUGAGAAUGUUUUGAAGGCAAAAGGGGGGAAGGUGUAUCUAAUGUUUGGUAUACUCAGUGUAUAAAAUAAAUUAGGUUCUAAUAAAAUGUCCAUAUCAAGAAUUGAAAUGACUGGAAAAUGCAGUUCACAACAUCAAAGUGUCUCAUCAAAACAACAUUUGAGCUUAAUAAAUCAAAUGCAUCAAAG
rnacentral:lncRNA from 1 species